rnacentral:rRNA from 1 species
AGAGUUUGAUCCUGGCUCAGGAUGAACGCUGGCGGCGUGCUUAACACAUGCAAGUCGAACGGUGAAAGAGAGCUUGCUCUCUGGAUCAGUGGCGAACGGGUGAGUAACACGUGAGCAAUCUGCCCCUGACUCUGGGAUAAGCGCUGGAAACGGCGUCUAAUACCGGAUACGAGCUGUGAAGGCAUCUUCAACAGCUGGAAAGAACUUCGGUCAGGGAUGAGCUCGCGGCCUAUCAGCUAGUUGGUGAGGUAAUGGCUCACCAAGGCGUCGACGGGUAGCCGGCCUGAGAGGGUGACCGGCCACACUGGGACUGAGACACGGCCCAGACUCCUACGGGAGGCAGCAGUGGGGAAUAUUGCACAAUGGGCGCAAGCCUGAUGCAGCAACGCCGCGUGAGGGACGACGGCCUUCGGGUUGUAAACCUCUUUUAGCAAGGAAGAAGCGAAAGUGACGGUACUUGCAGAAAAAGCGCCGGCUAACUACGUGCCAGCAGCCGCGGUAAU